UGGACCAAUAUGGGAAUGUGUAAUGAACCAUGAAUUAUGUUUAAUCUAAAUCAUCACAACUGAGAUGAUU
rnacentral:snoRNA from 10 species